ensembl:lncRNA
CCUCCCUCCCUUCAUGCCCACUUUAUACAGGCAGUCCUCGACUUACGACCACAAUCGAGCCCAACAUUUUCUGUGGUUAAGUGAGACCUUGGUACAGUGAAUUUGGCUCCGUUUCCCCACCUUUCUUGACCCUGUUGUUCAGUGAAUCACCGCCGUUGAGAAGUCGGUAAUGUGGUCGUUAAAUGAAUCUGGCGUCCCCUGUUGUCUUUGCUCGUCGCAAAAGGGGAUCACAUUAUCUCGAUAAACAGCAACGGUCAUAAUUAUGAGAUGGUGGCCAAGCACCUGACUUUUGAUCCAAUCAUCCUGGGGUUAUCAAGGUCGUAAGUGUGGGGAAAACGGACCCUCAGUCCCUUUUUUUUUCCCCUGUGCCGUUGUUAACGUCGAACAGUCACUAAACCGAACCAUUGUAAGUUGAGGACUGCUGUUCUGACCCAAAUCUUCUUCCAAACACGAAAACAAACACGAAACAGAGGUAACAGCAAAUCCUUUUAAUGAUUCUUUACAAAUUCUGAUUAAAAGGCUGUUUCAAACUAAUUGUCUCUGAUGAGGACAAGCCUUGCCAAGGUGGUGCAAGGCCGCCAAGAACACUAGAUAAAGUUGCCAAGAAAUAUUCCAAUCACAAAGAGUCUCCAAACACAAACCAAGAUAUCUCGAACGUCCGCAAGGCUUGAGUGCAAAAACGUCUUUGCUUCCUGCAAAGAACUCCGGAUUCUAAGGCUGGCUUUUAUCCCUUAAGGGAGGGGCCAUUACCUUGCAACCUUACUCCUGAGUCGCCUGUGCUGCUGCAGCUGCUCUUUCCUGCGAGCAGCCCUGCAUGCACGUUCACUGGGCACAGGCUCCUUGGGGACCUCUUCAUCACAGCUGCCAGCCUCCACAAUCUCCACAGGUAGCACCCCACUCCCUGAUGGUCCUGGCCUCAUCCCUGCCUCACACGCAGGCCCCUCAUCUUGAGUCCUCAGCAGUCUGCACCUGCGGCCAGCGAACCACAACUACCCGCCUCCACUCUCAAAACUCCCUCUCGCCCUCUCUCUCUCUCUCCCCCCAGCCUGAACCGAGCCGGCGUCCCAAAGCGAGACGGCCGUCGCUCUGCCUCGUGUGAACGGUCCCAUUCCCAGGAGCGCAGCAGCAGCGUGCCCUGGGUAGCCAGCCGGCCACGAUCCACCUCCAGGGACGGGCGCAGCGGGAGCCAGCAGAGCCGCCUCUCCCGCCAGUCUCCUUCUCCAACAGGUAUCCGGACCUCUCGCUUCGAUCCGACAGCUUUUGUGAAGGCCAAGGAACGGAAACAAAAGGAGAUCGAACAGAAAAACAAACGGAAUCUCCAUCGGGCCAUGGGAGACACCCCGCCCAGUGGCUGGUACCACCACACCCAGCUCAGGGGCUCCUCGGUCCUCCCUGGCGGAAGCAGCCUUGGGAAGCCGCGCGGCCGCAGCUCUUCAGUGGAAAGUUUCCGCAGCAAACGCACCUCGGCCAGCUCAGGGAGCGAAGAUGGAGGAUUAUUCAGAACCUGUUGCACCAAGGUAAGGGAUUGCAGGGGGCAGAUGGGGUUUCUUGUAAUGGGGAGUCUGCUAAGCUGAUUGUGGCAAUCCAUCUACUACAUUUCCAACCGUAACUUUUCGCUCCCUGAUUCUGGUGUAUGUAAUAGCAGUGUAUCUCAACCUUGGUGAAUUUAAGCUUCUUGGACCAACUCCCAGAAUUCCCUAGCCAGCCAAGGGGGAAGUCCUCUCCCUUGGCUGGGGAAUUCUGGGAGCUGGAGUCUUAAAUAUCUUAAAAAUUAUCAGCAGGCUGGCUGGGGAAUUCUGGGAGCUGGAGUCCAGAUAUCUUAAGAAUUCAUCAGCAGGCUGGCUGGGGAAUUCUGGGAGCUGGAGUCCAGAUAUCUUAAGAAUUCAUCAGCAGGCUGCCUGGGAAUUCUGGGAGCUGGAGUCCAGAUAUCUUAAGAAUUCAUCAGCAGGCUGCCUGGGGAAUUCUGGGAGCUGGAGUCUUAAACAUCUUAAGAAUUCAUCAGCAGGCUGGCUGGGGAAUUCUGGGAGCUGGAGUCCAGAUAUCUUAAGAAUUCAUCAGCAGGCUGGCUGGGGAAUUCUGGGAGCUGGAGUCCAGAUAUCUUAAGAAUUCAUCAGGAGGCUGGCUAGGGAAUUCUGGGAGCUGAAGUCUUAAAUAUCUUAAAAUUCAUCAGCAGGCUGGCUGGGGAAUUCUGGGAGCUGGAGUCUUAAAUAUCUUAAAAUUCAUCAGCAGGCUGGCUGGGGAAUUCUGGGAGCUGGAGUCCAGAUAUCUUAAGAAUUCAUCAGGAGGCUGGCUGGGGAAUUCUGGGAGCUGGAGUCUUAAAUAUCUUAAAAUUCAUCAGCAGGCUGGCUGGGGAAUUCUGGGAGCUGGAGUCCACGCAAACCAGCCAAGUUUUAGAAACACUAGUCUGCCCACAGAACGUGACUCUUUUAAGCCACGUAGAACAAAAUGUUUCCCGUAAUUAAGAUCUGACACGUCUGCAAUUUCACCAUCGGGGUUGCCCCAUCCAACGGAUUCUGUCCUUGUUCGUUUAGAGGCAGGAAACGGCUAGCCAGGAACAGGAAGCCCUUCAGCUCUUCGUCUUGGAACGGCCCCACGGCGGUGAGUGGUCCGCGAAGGGUUCCUCUUUCCAAAGUUGGUCCUGGGUUCAAGGCGAGCCCUCCGAGAGGGCCCUGUAAAGGCCAUGUGACACCCCCACUAAUUCUUGUUCUCCAUUCAGGGUCCCCGUGCAGACAACGCUCACAAGAAACGUCUCUCCAGCACCCCAAAUACAGGCAAGGCCAGAGGGAAAGGUAAAGCAGCCGGCGUCUCAGAGAUCUUGGAAAACUCAGGUGGGUGGACAUCUCUGCAUCAAGCUAUUUUAUUUUAAUCUCUCUAUAUAAAGAGCGAAAUGCCCCUCAUGCAUCAUCACAAAAUCUCCAGAACUGUAAAGCCUACAAACUUGAAAUUGGGCACAUAUGUUCCUCUUGGCUUCUAGGGGCUCACUAAGAGAGGAUUUUUCCAAAUGACCCUCAGAGCAUUUAGAGGAUUUCCUAUAUUAUUAUUAUUAUUAACACGCUCUGAUGCUAAGGAGGUCUACUCCCCUUCCCCACCUGAAAAGAAAUCUCCCAAAGGCAAAACACAAGCAGAGGGGAGGAGUUUCAGUCUUGGUUUCAGAGCAGCAACCAGCUUUAGUCCAGAACAGUUGAGCUGUUCUGCCUCCUCCUUGUUCACACAGCAAAUACUGCUUCAGUUUCCAAACAGCCCUCAACUCUCUGACAGGACGCUAGCCAGAUGAAUACCGAUGGAGGCAGAGGCAGAAUUUCCCUUUAUUUUUGAAGUUUGGCAGGAUCCUCCUCGGUCGCCCCACCUGAUCAUGUCAUCUAUCCCAACAGAGAACCUCUACGAUGAGCCCUCGGCGGAUCUCUCCGAGAUCGACGCCCGUCUGCAGGCGCUGCAGGAGUACAUGAAUAAGCUGGAGACCCAGACGUAGCCCAAGCAAGAGGCGAGCCUUGGCCUAGCUGCAUCCGGUCCAAAUGUAGACGCUGUCCUUUUUCUCCACUCUCGCUACUCUGGUUGCGUGUCUUCUACGGCUACGUCCUUAAGGGGGGAGGGCUGGGUUGAGGUGGGGGAAUGAGGACGGCUGUCUUGUCAACUUCAGCCUUUGAAAGCCUUCCUGAGAACGAUUACAUUAAAGGUUUCUAAGAACAACCUUCCUGAGUUUUUCCUUCUUGCAAAAAUCCUUUUUAUGGCAGUGAUACUUAAGCUCAGCAGCUUUAAAGAUGAACAUACAUUAAUGUAGGUUUGUGAUGGUGAAUCUAUGGCACGUAGAACCAUUUCUGCAGGCAUGUGAGCCCCAGCCAAACGUACCUGCAUUGUGCAUGCGUGUGCCUCCCAGCUGAUUUUCACCCUGCCAGAGAUCAAGGGAAGCCUCUGCAGCCUUUGGAGGCUGAAAAACAGGCCCGUUUCGUCUCUUCUUGUUUUUCCGGAAAUACCAGAAGUGACAAAACGGGCCCAUUUUUCGGCCUCCAAAGGCUGCAGAGGCUUCCCUGGAGCCUCUGGGAAGCUGAAAAAGGCCUCAAACAGGCUGAAAAACCAGCUGGGAGGCGCGUGCAUGUGCAGUGUAGAUAAGGGGGCGGUGGGGGGAUCGCGCACUUGUGC